rnacentral:rRNA from 1 species
GAUGAACGCUAGCGGGAGGCUUAACACAUGCAAGUCGAGGGGUAUAAGUAGCAAUAUUUAGAGACCGGCGCACGGGUGAGUAACGCGUAUGCAACCUGCCCUUUACUGGGGGAUAGCCCGUAGAAAUGCGGAUUAAUACCCCAUAGUUCUGUGAAACUGCAUGGUUUUACAGAUAAAGCUGAGGCGGUAAAGGAUGGGCAUGCGUGACAUUAGCUUGUUGGUGAGGUAACGGCCCACCAAGGCUACGAUGUCUAGGGGGUUCUGAGAGGAAGAUCCCCCACACUGGUACUGAGACACGGACCAGACUCCUACGGGAGGCAG